rnacentral:tRNA from 1 species
GUGGGCAUAGCUCAGUUGGUUAGAGCACUGGAUUGUGGUUCCAGAUGUCGGGGGUUCGAAUCCCCUUGCCCACCCA